UCCAUUGUUGCUGGUCUUACAUUGU
rnacentral:piRNA from 1 species